rnacentral:rRNA from 1 species
UACGGGGGGGGCAAGCGUUGUUCGGAAUUACUGGGCGUAAAGGGCUCGUAGGUGGCCAACUAAGUCAUACGUGAAAUCCCUCGGCUUAACCGGGGAACUGCGUCUGAUACUGGAUGGCUUGAAUCCGGGAGAGGGAUGCGGAAUUCCAGGUGUAGGUGAAAUGCGUAGAUAUCUGGAGGAACACCGGUGGCGAAGGCGGCAUCCUGGACCGGCAUUGACGCUGAGGAGCGAAAGCCAGGGGAGCAAACGGG